UGCAGAUGAAAGGGUGGAAAGUCCACAGUACAAAUGAUAGAAAGAUACAGGUGAACAACGUCUCACUAAUGUAGCCUUUAUCUUGUCCAAGCUCCGGAAGGAGAAAGAACCCUGCGUCCUGCAAUGUUGGCCCUGGCCGAUGUAGAUAAUGAACUCCUCUGGCAGACAAACCAUGUAUAUACUGAAAAAUUAGACCGGCAAGAAUGUAUUUCCAAUUUUCGAAAAGUAGAUUGAUCUCUGUGGUAAUCUCGGCACAAAUUCUCUUCCACAGCUUUGAAGCCUCGCGACCAAUGUAAAUCGUCAUCUUGUUGCGGUAGUUGUUGUUGUUGUUGU
rnacentral:misc_RNA from 1 species